UACAGGGGGUGCAAACGUUGUCCGGAAUUACUGGGCGUAAAGAGCUCGUAGGUGGUUUGUCGCGUUGUUCGUGAAAACUCACAGCUUAACUGUGGGCGUGCGGGCGAUACGGGCAGACUUGAGUACUGCAGGGGAGGACUGGAAUUCCUGGUGUAGCGGUGGAAUGCGCAGAUAUCAGGAGGAACACCGGUGGCGAAGGCGGGUCUCUGGGCAGUAACUGACGCUGAGGAGCGAAAGCGUGGGGAGCGAACAGG
rnacentral:rRNA from 1 species